rnacentral:rRNA from 1 species
CAGUAGCCGCGGUAAUACGUAGGGUGCAAGCGUUAAUCGGAAUUACUGGGCGUAAAGCGUGCGCAGGCGGUUAUAUAAGACAGAUGUGAAAUCCCCGGGCUCAACCUGGGAACUGCAUUUGUGACUGUAUAGCUAGAGUACGGCAGAGGGGGAUGGAAUUCCGCGUGUAGCAGUGAAAUGCGUAGAUAUGCGGAGGAACACCGAUGGCGAAGGCAAUCCCCUGGGCCUGUACUGACGCUCAUGCACGAAAGCGUGGGGAGCAAACAGGAUUAGAUACCCCCGUAGUUCCUGUCUCUUAUAA